AUCCAGCUGAUGAGUCCAAAACAAGACGAAACAUGAGUCCUGGAU
rfam:Schistosoma haematobium scaffold101_51, whole genome shotgun sequence.